rnacentral:rRNA from 1 species
GACGAACGCUGGCGGCGUGCUUAACACAUGCAAGUCGAACGGAAAGGCCCUGCUUUUGUGGGGUGCUCGAGUGGCGAACGGGUGAGUAACACGUGAGUAACCUGCCCUUGACUUUGGGAUAACUUCAGGAAACUGGGGCUAAUACCGGAUAGGAGCUCCUGCUGCAUGGUGGGGGUUGGAAAGUUUCGGCGGUUGGGGAUGGACUCGCGGCUUAUCAGCUUGUUGGUGGGGUAGUGGCUUACCAAGGCUUUGACGGGUAGCCGGCCUGAGAGGGUGACCGGCCACAUUGGGACUGAGAUACGGCCCAGACUCCUACGGGAGGCAGCAGUGGGGAAUAUUGCACAAUGGGCGGAAGCCUGAUGUAGCAACGCCGCGUGCGGGAUGACGGUCUUCGGGUUGUAAACCGCUUUCGCCUGUGACGAAGCGUGAGUGACGGUAAUGGGUAAAGAAGCACCGGCUAACUACGUG